CAUCUCCUCCCCGCCGCCGCCCCUUCCCGAUCCAGUCCUCCGUCUCACCCCCCUCCUCUCCCCUCAACCAAGGACGACGGAGAUCCAGUCCUCUCCCCGCGCCGCAACCCUUCCUCCCACCCACCGCCGACGUCGCCGUCCUCCUCACCCACCGCCCACCUCGUCCCUCCCUCCCCUCACCAUCUCUUCCCACCCUCCGCCCUCUCUGCCCCCUGCCUCGAUCCCCCAGACCAAUUGACACAACCCCGCCGCCCCGCACCCCAUACUGUCCACCAUGGCCGCCUCCUCCUCCUCGCUCCGGAUCCCCGCACCAACCCACCACCCCGCCGUGGGGGCGCGUCCGCGGCUGCUGCCCUUCCACGCCAUCUCCGUCCGCCCCUGCCGCUCCGCAGUCUCCUCCGUCUCCGCCUCCUCCCCGCAGCAGGCGCCGACACAGGGCGACGGCGACGACGCCAAUGGGCCCACCGGCGUGCCCGUGCCUUUCUCCCGUGCCCUCCCCGGCGGUGGCGGCGGUUGGGCGAGCGGUGGAGGAGGUGUGUUCGGCACUAAACAAGCACGCUGACGUGGUGGCGGAGCUCUUCGGCCGCGUCUCCACCGAGCUCUGCGGCGGGUUCGGCCCCGCCGUCGACUCCUUCGUCGGCUUUUUCCACGCCGUCGUCUGGAAGGCCGCUGAUGAGCGCGGACCAUCGAGAUCAAGGCCGCCGAGGGCCGCUGAUGAGCGCGGACCAUCGAGAUCAAGGCCGCCGAGGUACAAAUACUAGAAAACUGCUGCUGCAGGACGUCCUCCUCCCCUCCUCCUACCCUCACACGUGCUAUGGGUUAACGAUGAUGAAUUUGUUCUAUUUGGAGGCAUUGGUGCCCCAUCAUCGAGUGCACGGAUGCAACAACAACAAGAAGAUCAUGGUCGUGCGUAUCAUCAAGCACACCAUGGAGAUCAUCCAUCUCACCGAUGCUAACUCAAUCCUGAUCACUGUCGACGCUAUCAUCCACAGGGGCCUCAAAUUUUUGGAGAUGGCCCUGGUUCUCUUGCAGGGAUAUGAUGAUAUUUCCAAGGAAAUAUACUGAACCUGAUGUGACAAAGGGUUGUUUGGACCUGGGAAUUUUAAUGCUGGGUUGAUGAGUUCAUUUGGCUGACCUACAAUAUGGACAUGGGAUUGGCUGUGUGGUUUGAUGAUGUUGCACUCGUUGGUGCCAUCUUAUGAGUAUGGUGAUGAUCCUAAGUAAUUGGUUGUGUUAUUUUGGUUGGUACUAUCUUAUAAACAUGUGGUGUAAUGAUACUACUGGGACAAAGUUGGCGAAAUCCUGUGUUGUUUGUUUAUUCUGUUGUGUUAUUUCGAGAUUCUGUGGUGUAAUGGUACUGUUGUGUUAUUUUGAGAAUUAUAUUAUUAUUAUCAUUA